CUCGAGGAAGAGCUUUCUCUCCCUCGACCCGAUUCAUCGUGCCGUAAUCAAGAUGUUUUAUUGUUUAUACGUUUUUUUACAGCUGCUGAGUGCGUGCGUUUCGCGAUGCAUUAGCGCGGCACUGUGAACGGCAAAACAAAAACGGGGUCUCUUGGCACGAGGAGAACGGGGCCAUGUGUGAGGAUAUAACGCUGACAGUAAAAGUUUAAUGGCAUCGUCUGUUAGUCACAGGACGGAUCGGCUGAACAGAGACUCCAUCACUCUUCAGAUCACCGGGAGGAGAAGGAGGCUUCAACCAAACUCCAGAGUGACACAGAACCCUGACGAAAUGUCCUCACAAGCUCUCGGGGGCACGCGUCUAAAUUAAGCUCGGCCUGUGAGAGGGUCUCACAGGGGAACACGCGAAGUGAAUCUGUGUGAGCGGCCCCGUGUUGUGGCGAGGGCCACCCAACGGACCGGCCCGCAUCCUCGCCGCCCCGGGUACCCGGGUACCUAAGACGGGGACCCACAGGUUUGAUGACACAAGUUACCUGGUUGCAUUACAUCAGAGGUCCCCCAAACUGAUGGCGAGGUGGAGCAGGGACCCCCUAUUCUACGGAGUUUGGUCCGCCAUCUUUUCUUUUCGAGCUUCACGCUCUUUAGACGUGAGCAUGAGCGCGAUCUGAUUGGCUGGCGCCUGCGCGGUCGUAUCCGCAUGAAAGGAGCCGUGAGUGAAGCGGUGCUGAGGGAAGCUGAGUGUGUGCGUUGACAGGUGACGUCUUCUCCGUCAAUUUAUCCGCUCGCUUCAAUACGUUGGAUUCAUGUUAACGUGGAUUUAAA
ensembl:lncRNA